UGGCAGCAUCGGGACUAGUCACUAUUCCCC
rnacentral:piRNA from 1 species